rnacentral:rRNA from 1 species
GAAGCUGACGGAGCACGCCGCGUGAGUGAUGAAGGUUUUCGGAUCGUAAAACUCUGUUGUUAGGGAAGAACAAGUUGGGUAGUAACUGACCCAACCUUGACGGUACCUAACCAGAAAGCCACGGCUAACUACGUGCCAGCAGCCGCGGUAAUACGUAGGUGGCAAGCGUUGUCCGGAAUUAUUGGGCGUAAAGCGCGCGCAGGUGGUUUCUUAAGUCUGAUGUGAAAGCCCACGGCUCAACCGUGGAGGGUCAUUGGAAACUGGGGAACUUGAGUGCAGAAGAGGAAAGUGGAAUUCCAAGUGUAGCGGUGAAAUGCGUAGAUAUUUGGAGGAACACCAGUGGCGAAGGCGACUUUCUGGUCUGUAACUGACACUGAGGCGC